rnacentral:rRNA from 1 species
GACGAACGCUGGCGGCGUGCCUAAUACAUGCAAGUUGAGCGAUGAAGAUUGGUGCUUGCACCAAUUUGAAGAGCAGCGAACGGGUGAGUAACGCGUGGGGAAUCUGCCUUUGAGCGGGGGACAACAUUUGGAAACGAAUGCUAAUACCGCAUAACAACUUUAAACAUAAGUUUUAAGUUUGAAAGAUGCAAUUGCAUCACUCAAAGAUGAUCCCGCGUUGUAUUAGCUAGUUGGUGAGGUAAAGGCUCACCAAGGCGAUGAUACAUAGCCGACCUGAGAGGGUGGUCGGCCACAUUGGGAAUUGGACACGGCCCAAACUCCUGCGGGAGGCAGCAGUAGGGAAUCUUCGGCCAUGGACGAAAGUCUGACCGGGCAACGCCGCGUGAGUGAAGAAGGUUUUCGGGUCGUAAAACUCUGUUGGUAGAGGAGAACGUUGGUGAGAGUGGAAAGCGCAUCAAGUGACGGUAACUACCCAGAAAGGGACGGCUAACUACGUG